rnacentral:rRNA from 1 species
UGCAAGUCGAGCGGUAGCACAGGAGAGCUUGCUCUCCGGGUGACGAGCGGCGGACGGGUGAGUAAUGUCUGGGAAACUGCCUGAUGGAGGGGGAUAACUACUGGAAACGGUAGCUAAUACCGCAUAACGUCUACGGACCAAAGUGGGGGACCUUCGGGCCUCACGCCAUCAGAUGUGCCCAGAUGGGAUUAGCUAGUAGGUGGGGUAAUGGCUCACCUAGGCGACGAUCCCUAGCUGGUCUGAGAGGAUGACCAGCCACACUGGAACUGAGACACGGUCCAGACUCCUACGGGAGGCAGCAGUGGGGAAUAUUGCACAAUGGGCGCAAGCCUGAUGCAGCCAUGCCGCGUGUGUGAAGAAGGCCUUAGGGUUGUAAAGCACUUUCAGCGAGGAGGAAGGGUUCAGUGUUAAUAGCACUGUUCAUUGACGUUACUCGCAGAAGAAGCACCGGCUAACUCCGUGCCAGCAGCCGCGGUAAUACGGAGGGUGCAAGCGUUAAUCGGAAUUACUGGGCGUAAAGCGCACGCAGGCGGUUUGUUAAGUCAGAUGUGGG